rnacentral:lncRNA from 1 species
AUUGUGGUCACUGAGAAAUGGCAUGGAUUCCAGCUGGUGCAGGGGAUGCAAAGGAAAAUUAAGCUCAUUUUUCAGGAUGAUCUGACAUCAGAUUUUUACCUAUUUAGCAGAUUCUGCAUUCUUUAUGUCACUGAAGAUGAUUCAGUAGCCAGAUAAUAGCUACAUGAAGAGGCUUGGUCAGGUUAGGAAUUCCAGUAAUCUUCAAGGGGUUGUAUUCGUUGAAAAAACUCAUUUGAGUGAGCAAUACUUUCCAGCCAUACAGAAGUUCACUGUGCUUUACCUUGGGAUGGCCAGCCAGAUGGAAGCAUCCUGCCUCACCAUCCGGUGAAUUGAAGAGCAAACCAAAGAGCUCUGGAAAAAUCAUUUCUCAGGAAGAAAGGGGCUCUGUUUUCUGAGCCUUCUUUGAAAUGUGCAGCAGAUUCCAGGAGUUGGAAAAGUUAAAGCCUUCCUUUUGCUUCAGAAGUUUCCAAGUACCCAGGAACUGAGUAAUGAUUCCAUCUGAGAACUCAAGCAGCUUUUUGGACAAGAGGUAGCACAGCAAAUCCUUGCCUUCUUCACACAGUCCAAGUGAU